CUCAGCAGCUACAUAUUGAGGAAAAUGGAUGAAGAAGAUAUAAAGCCUAAAAUCAAGAAUUUGCCUAGUGAAAAUGGCAAAUUGAAGAGGAAGAUGUGUGCGCACAU